AUGGUUUCCAACUUCAUUUAUGUCCCCGCAAAGAACUUAUCCAGAAUCAUCUUUCACAUUCUACAGAAGUCACAGAAGCCAACACACAACUCCAGAGUUAAACAUAUUAAACCCCUGUCAUCAGAGAGAACUUUCAAAAAAUCUUGAGAUGGGACCCAUUGGCUCAGACUGAGUCAGAUGUCUACCCUUGGACCAAUCAACUGUGGUCUCUGUGAAUGUAGGCUACUAUUAUUGCCCUAUUUGAGUUUUCUUCCCACUCAUGAGCCAAUCAACUCUAGACAGAAAAGGGAAUGAUCUGAAGCUUGGAAGUUCUCACAGGAACCCUAUAAAUGAAGAAGAGGACAGGACAUGUUUUAAGACAAAGAAAAACGCUAUGCAACCAAAAUACAUCUACUACAAUAACAGUGAUUAUUAAAAAGUCAUUUAAUUUCUCUAAGCCUCAAUUUUCUCUUCUCUAAAAGUGUAUGAAUUGUCUAUUGCUAUGGAUAUGUAUCAAAUAAGAUACUUUAAAAGUUUUAAAUGACAAACUUCUAUACAGUUCUAAAAGGUUGCUCUGAUUAUUACACUGGUGUCACCAAAGUGGUUUCUAGAUUCUAUUUCUGCAGAGCUUUCAUUUGUAAAAUUGGAAUGAUUUUCUCUACUUUUUAUGGUUAUGGAC
rnacentral:lncRNA from 10 species